rnacentral:lncRNA from 1 species
CAGACCUUGCAUAAACCAAGAGCUGAUUUUUCUCGCCCUCUGGCAAGAAAGAUCUGGGAAUCUCAUUGCUGCUCUCUUUGUUCGGGCCCAGAGGUUCCUCUUCUGCUGCACUUCUGGAGUUAGUCCUGUUGCACUGGUGCUGUUCAGGAGAAGGUGAACUGACAGUAACUCUGCUUUGUCUCUCUUGUGACCACACCAAAGAAAAAAAUGUGUUUUUCGAAGUCCUAUGUAUAAGCAGACUUGUAAGCAGGAUGAGAGAAUGUAGGAUAAUACAGCUCUUACAGGCAUCUGGUUUAUAGACAGUAAGUAUUUAUCAAGCAAGACAAAAGCCAUAUUUAUAUGAGUAUAAAUGAUAUCCUGAAAUCUGAUCACUUGUAAAUGUGUACUGAUGUGAAACAUUCUUCAAAAUGGUAGAAAUUACUUAUUCUUGUCUUUUGUAAUGCCUGUGCCUUCAUCAGAAUAUCUCUGAAUGGAAUUCUCUUCACUUUGACAUAAUAAUUACAUGGAAAUUAGGAAUGUCACUGGCAGAAGUGAUGGGCCUAUAGUGUGUUAAAG